AUUGGCGUAGCUUAAUUGAAAGCAUGAGAUUCUUACUCUUAGGAUAGCAGCUUUGCUCGUUAAUA
rnacentral:tRNA from 1 species